GCCUGCCAAUAGGACACUAUAAAGCCUUUUGUAAUUGCAGUCAGCGUCAGAAAUAAUUUAAUAAUUAAAACUUUCAACAACGGAUCUCUUGGUUCUGGCAUCGAUGAAGAACGCAGCGAAAUGCGAUAAGUAGUGUGAAUUGCAGAAUUCAGUGAAUCAUCGAAUCUUUGAACGCACAUUGCGCCCCUUGGUAUUCCAGGGGGCAUGCCUGUUCGAGCGUCAUUUCAACCCCCAAGCUCUGCUUGGUCUUGGGCGUCACCGGUCUCGGCGUGCCCUAAAAUCAGUGGCGGCGCCGUCUGGCUCUGAGCGUAGUACAUACCCUCGCUAUAGACGCCUGGCGGAUGCUUGCUAGCAGCCCCUAAUUUAUUCAGGUUGACCUCGGAUCAGGUAG
rnacentral:rRNA from 1 species